GGUGAAUACGGGCCAGGAGGUGGGGUAAUACGUAUGAUGCAAUCGUUAAUCGGACUGACUGGGCGUAAAGGGCAUGUAGGCGGAUUAAUAAGUUUGAAGUGAAAUCCUAUAGCUUAACUAUAGAACUGCUUUGAAAACUGUUAAUCUAGAAUGUGGGAGAGGUAGAUGGAAUUUCUGGUGUAGGGGUAAAAUCCGUAGAGAUCAGAAGGAAUACCGAUUGCGAAGGCGAUCUACUGGAACAUUAUUGACGCUGAGAUGCGAAAGCGUGGGGAGCAAACAGGAUUAGAUACCCUGGUAGUC
rnacentral:rRNA from 1 species